rnacentral:rRNA from 1 species
CAAUAGCGUAUAUUUAAGUUGCUGCAGUUAAAAAGCUCGUAGUUGGAUUUCGGGUGGGAAUGGCCGGUCCGCCGUUUCGGUGUGCACUUGCUACGCCCACCUUGCUGCCGGGGACGUGCUCUUGAGUUCACGCUCGGGACACGGAGUCGUCGAGGUUACUUUGAGUAAAUUAGAGUGUUCAAAGCAGGCCUACGCUCUGAAUACAUUAGCAUGGAAUAACACGAUAGGACUCUGGCCUAUCUUGUUGGUCUGUAGGACCGGAGUAAUGAUUAAGAGGGACAGUCGGGGGCAUUCGUAUUUCAUUGUCAGAGGUGAAAUUCUUGGAUUUAUGAAAGACGAACUACUGCGAAAGCAUUUGCCAAGGAUGUUUUCAUUAA